rnacentral:rRNA from 1 species
UAGUAGCGGCGAGCGAACCGGGAAGAGCUCAAAUUUGAAAGCUGGCAGCUUGCAGUUGUCCGCAUUGUAAUCUAUAGAGGCAUUUUCCGUGCUGGACCGUGACCAAGUCCCUUGGAACAGGGUAUCAAAGAGGGUGAUAAUCCCGUACUUGUCACGACAACCAGUGCUCUGUGAUAUGUCUUCUACGAGUCGAGUUGUUUGGGAAUGCAGCUCAAAAUGGGUGGUAAAUUCCAUCUAAGGCUAAAUAUUGGCGAGAGACCGAUAGCGAACAAGUACCGUGAGGGAAAGAUGAAAAGCACUUUGGAAAGAGAGUUAAACAGUAUGUGAAAUUGUUGAAAGGGAAACGAUUGAGGUCAGUCGUGACUGCAGGAUUCAGCUGUCUCUGGCAGUGUAUUUCCUGUAGUCGGGUCAACAUCAGUUUUGAUCGGUGGAUAAGGGCAGUUGGAAUGUAGCACCUCCGGGUGUGUUAUAGCCUUCUGUCGCAUACACUGGUUGAGACUGAGGAAUGCAGCUCGCCUUGAUGGCCGGGGUUCGCCCACGUUCGAGCUUAGGAUGUUGACAUAAUGGCCUUAAACGACCCGU